AUACGGGAGGCAGCAGUAGGGAAUCUUCGGCAAUGGGCGAAAGCCUGACCGAGCAACGCCGCGUGAGCGAUGAAGGCCUUCGGGUCGUAAAGCUCUGUUGUUAGAGAAGAACAAGUACGAGAGUAACUGCUCGUACCUUGACGGUUUUUAACCAGAAAGCCACGGCUAACUACGUGCCAGCAGCCGCGGUAAUACGUAGGUGGCAAGCGUUAUCCGGAAUUAUUGGGCGUAAAGCGCGCGCAGGCGGUCUCUUAAGUCUGAUGUGAAAGCCCACGGCUCAACCGUGGAGGGUCAUUGGAAACUGGGAGACUUGAGUGCAGGAGAGAAAAGUGGAAUUCCACGUGUAGCGGUGAAAUGCGUAGAGAUGUGGAGGAACACCAGUGGCGAAGGCGGCUUUUUUGGCCUGUAACUGACGCUGAGGCGCGAAAGCGUGGGGAGCAAACAGGAUUAGAUACCCUGGUAGUCCACGCCGUAAACGAUGAGUGCUAGGUGUUGGGGGGUUCCACCCUCAGUGCUGAAGUUAACACAUUAAGCACUCCGCCUGGGG
rnacentral:rRNA from 1 species